UUCCGGUUGAUCCUGCCGGACCCGACUGCUAUCGGAAUAGGACUAAGCCAUGCGAGUCGAACGUCCUUUGACCAUGUAAAGGACGUGGCACACGGCUCAGUAACACGUAGUCAACCUGCCCUGGAGCCUUGGAUAACCCCGGGAAACUGGGACUAAAACAAGAUAGGUCAAGAUUUCUGGAAAGGGUCUUGACUGAAAUAGCUUCUAAGCAUGUUUAGAUGUCUUCUCUAGGAUGGGACUGCGGCCGAUCAGGUUGUUGGUGGGGUAAAGGCCCACCAAGCCGAUUACCGGUACGGGCUUUGGGAGAAGGAGCCCGGAGAUGGACCCUGAGAGAAGGGUCUAGGCCCUACGGGGCGCAGCAGGCGCGAAAUCUUCGCAAUGCGCGAAAGCGCGACGAGGUUAUUCCGAGUGCAAUCUGCUGAAGAUAGCUUUUGUCAGGUGUAAAUAGCCUGGAGAAUAAGGGGAGGGAAAGCCUGGUGUCAGCCGCCGCGGUAAAACCAGCUCCUCGAGUGGUCGGGAUGAUUAUUGGGCCUAAAGCAUCCGUAGCCGGUCCCGCAGGUCUCCUGUUAAAUCCAACGGCUCAACCGUUGGGCUGCGGGAGAUACCACGGGACUAGGAGGCGGGAGAGGCAGACGGUAUUCCGUGGGUAGGGGUAAAAUCCGCUGAUCCACGGAGGACCACCAGUGGCGAAGGCGGUCUGCCAGAACGCGCUCGACGGUGAGGGAUGAAAGCUGGGGGAGCAAACCGGAUUAGAUACCCGGGUAGUCCCAGCUGUAAACUAUGCAA
rnacentral:rRNA from 1 species